GAAGUUGCUGCUAUCUGGAUUCGACUAAGCCAUGCAAGUGCGGUUCUUCAAGAAUACCGGCAUACUGCUCAGUAACACGUCGAUAAUCUACCCUUAUGUCUGGGAUAACCUUGGGAAACUGAGGAUAACACCGGAUGGGGGAUUGGUAUUUGAAUAUCCUUUCCCUUAAAGGCAACGCAUAAGGAUGAGACGGCGGUGGAUUAGGUAGUUGGUGAGGUAACGGCUCACCAAGCCGAAGAUCCAUAGGGGCCAUGAGAGUGGGAGCCCCGAGAAGAGCACUGAAAUACUGGCUCUAGCCCUACGGGGUGCAGCAGGCGCGAAACCUCUACAAUGCACAAACGUGUGAUAGGGGGAUCCAGAGUGCUUUACACAUGUAAGGCUUUUGCCAAGAGUACACAUCUUGGCGAAUAAGUGGUGGGCAAGACUGGUGCCAGCCGCCGCGGUAACACCAGCUCCACGAGUGGGAACUAUAAUUAUUGGGCCUAAAGCGUCCGUAGCCUGUCCUGUAAAUUUCUUGUGAAAUUGUUAGGCUCAACCUAACAACGUGCAGGAAACACUGCAAGACUAGGGACUGGGAGGAGUUAGGAGUAUCUUUGGGGUAGCGGUAAAAUGUUAUAAUCCCUCAGAGACUACCGGUGGCGAAGGCGCCUAACUAGAACAGAUCCGACGGUCAGGGACGAAAGCUAAGGGAGCAAAACGGAUUAGAUACCCGAGUAGUCUUAGCUGUAAACGCUGCGAGCAAGAUGUUGCAUAUUCUUCGUGAAUGUGCAGUAUCGAAGAG
rnacentral:rRNA from 1 species